rnacentral:rRNA from 1 species
UUGGAGUAGCAAUACUUCAGAUGGCGACCGGCGCACGGGUGAGUAACACGUAUCCAACCUGCCGCUUACUCGGGGAUAGCCUUUCGAAAGAAAGAUUAAUACCCGAUGGUAUAAAGAGUUCGCAUGUUCUCUUUAUUAAAGAAUUUCGGUAAGCGAUGGGGAUGCGUUCCAUUAGAUAGUUGGCGGGGUAACGGCCCACCAAGUCUACGAUGGAUAGGGGUUCUGAGAGGAAGGUCCCCCACAUUGGAACUGAGACACGGUCCAAACUCCUACGGGAGGCAGCAGUGAGGAAUAUUGGUCAAUGGACGAGAGUCUGAACCAGCCAAGUAGCGUGAAGGAUGACUGCCCUAUGGGUUGUAAACUUCUUUUAUAAGGGAAUAAAGUGAGGGACGUGUCCCUUUUUGUAUGUACCUUAUGAAUAAGGAUCGGCUAACUCCGUGCCAGCAGCCGC